GAGCACUUCUCCUGGAUUCCUCUACCCUGCUGCUCUGAGCUCAAGCCCCCUUUUCUAUAAAGUCUUUUGCUUUGCUAGUACCUGUGUCUCUUCAGACAGUUCAUUUCCAAGUGUUAGACAAGAGCCCAUUCUUGGGCCCUGGAUGUGGUUCCCUGCCUCCCAACAAUAGUACCUUUACUUCAGAGCUUCAUGCAGAGGGAAAUGGCCUGGAGAAGGCUAGCUGGCUGCCCAGACAUGACCCCAUAAGGUGAUGUGGAGGUUGGGGUUCAGAGAGAAGUCAGGUGUCUAAAACUACACUGAUGCCAGUGGAUUUAUUUAAAUAAGAGAAGUGUCAAGUAGCCUGGGAAGACUGACCUAUGAAGGAAGGCCAAAUUGAAGAUGAUUGCUUGGACUUGCAAUCCAGGCAAGAAAGAGCUGACAACAAGAAGGAGAAAGGGCUGCUGGGCAUUAGUGCUUUUUCAUGGGUGGAGCACUCACCCUGAAUCAGAUCCAUUGCCACACAGUAAACGAUCAGAAGUGCCUGGUUUGUUGGUGUAGUAAUCUGUAAAAUAAAGGAAGAAGUGAAAGAUUUACAUGAUGCUGAACCUUCAACUCAAGUCUUGAGUGGUGAAA